AACACUGUUAACCUGCGGUACCUGCGGAGGGAUCAUUACCGAGUGUGGUCCCAUAAGGGGCGCCUCCCGUCCUUUGCAGGGCCUUUAGGGGCUUUUUGACUUUGCUUCGGCGGGCUUGCCCCGCCGGAACACCCUCAAGAAAAUCUUUAUGAACCGUUUGUCUGAGUUGCUUGCGAAUAAAAACAAAACUUUUAGCAAUGGAUCU
rnacentral:misc_RNA from 1 species